rnacentral:rRNA from 1 species
UUGGAGGGCAAGUCUGGUGCCAGCAGUCGCGCUAAUUCCAGCUCCAAUAGCGUAUAUUAAAGUUGUUGCAGUUAAAAAGCUCGUAGUUGAAUUUCGGGAUCAAUAUAUCGGUCGUGCCUUCGGUACGUACUGGUAUCAUUGGUUUCUCCUUUCUGACGAACCAUGAUGUCAUUAAUUUGGUGUUAUGGGGAGUUAGGACUGUUACUUUGAAAAAAUUAGAGUGUUUAAAGCAGGC